UGAAAUGUGAAAUACUCUGUCUUAAAGGGAAAACAUGAACAUAUGUUUCACGUUACACUUCUGACACGUGGUGUCUCACACUCCAGAGUGACUUUUUUUUUUUUUUUUUUUUAGUUCUGAUGCAGUGUUACGCUUAUGGGAUUCCCAGGCAGAAGGCAAGGCACAGUGCAGGAUCUCUCCAACUCUCCUGACUGUCCCACAGAUGCCGUAUAAGCAUGUGCCAAGUUUUGGACUACAGGUAGGAAUGACAUAGCCGUGUGUUACAAGUAUAUUCAAAGAUUAUGAAGACAAGAAGAACUAAGAGAAUCGAAUCUGACUUCUCAUGUAAUGCUGUCUUUACAUCCCUAUAAUGGUUUGCUGGAAAACAUUCCUUUUUGACUUAAACACUUUUUUUCCAUAGCUGUGUUAAUCAGCAG
rnacentral:lncRNA from 1 species